rnacentral:rRNA from 1 species
AUGGCGCUCCUCCACCUCCUCUCCCUGCUGCUACUCUGCCCGGAGCCGGCGCUGGCGGGGGACCCGUUCGCCUACUUCGACUGGGAGGUCACGUACCAGUCGGCCCGCCCGCUGGGCGUGGCGCAGAAGGUCAUCGCCAUCAACGGCCAGUUCCCGGGGCCGCCGCUGAACGUGACCACCAACUGGAACGUGGUGGUGAACGUCCGCAACGCCCUCGACGAGCCGCUCCUCCUCACCUGGCACGGCCUCCAGCAUCGCAAGACCCCGUGGCAGGACGGCGUGGCCGGCACCAACUGCCCCAUCCCCGCCGGCUGGAACUGGACCUACCAAUUCCAGGUCAAGGACCAGGUCGGGAGCUUCUUCUACUCCCCCUCGGCCGCGCCGCUCCACCGCGCCGCCGGCGGGUACGGCGGCAUCGUCGUCAACAACCGCGACGUCAUCCCCAUCCCCUUCCCCUUCCCGGACGGCGGCGACCUCACGCUCUUCAUCGGCGACUGGUACGUCAGGUCCCACAAGGACCUCCGCAGGUCCCUCGACGCCGGCGCGCCCCUGGGGCCCCCCGACGGCGUGCUCGUCAACGGCCUGGGGCCCUACCGCUACAACGACUCCCUCGUCCCGCCGGCGAUCACCUACGAGAGGAUCAAUGUGGAGCCCGGGAGGACCUACAGGCUGCGGGUGCACAACGUGGGGGUCUCCACCAGCCUGAAUUUCAGGAUCCAGGGACACAGCCUGCUGCUCGUGGAGACCGAGGGCUCAUACACCUCGCAGCAGAACUACAGCAACAUGGACAUCCAUGUCGGUCAGUCCUACUCCUUCCUGGUCACCAUGGAUCAGAACGCCAGCACCGACUACUACGUAGUCGCCAGCGCCCGCUUCGUCGUCGCCGACCCCGGUGCCGUCGAUAAGCUCACCGGCGUCGCCAUUCUGCACUACUCCAACUCCCAGGGUCCGGCCUCUGGCCCUCUCCCUGCUGCCCCUGAUGACCAGUAUGACACUGCAUUCUCCAUAAACCAAGCCAGAUCCAUCAGGUGGAAUGUCGCCGCGAGCGGUGCCCGCCCCAACCCGCAGGGUUCAUUCCAUUAUGGUGACAUUACCGUGACUGAUGUGUACUUGUUGCAGAGCCGGCCGCCCGAGCUCAUCGACGGGCAACUGCGUUCUACUAUCAAUGGGAUCUCUUACAUUGCUCCAUCUACUCCAUUGAUACUUGCACAACUAUUCAAUGUCCCUGGAGUGUUCAAGUUGGAUUUUCCAAAUCAUCCGAUGAACAGACUGCCAAAAGUUGACACCUCGGUUAUAAAUUGCACCUACAAAGGCUUUAUGGAGAUUAUAUUCCAAAACAACGCCACAACCGUGCAGAGCUAUCACUUGGAUGGAUAUGCAUUCUUCGUCGUUGGGAUGGACUAUGGACUGUGGACUGACAAUAGUCGGGGUACCUACAACAAAUGGGAUGGAGUUGCACGGUCAACAAUCCAGGUAUUCCCCGGCGCUUGGACUGCUGUGCUUGUGUUCCUGGACAACGCAGGGAUAUGGAAUCUGCGCGUGGAGAACCUGGACAGCUGGUACCUGGGCCAAGAACUGUACAUAAGCGUGGUGAACCCGGAGGAGGACCACAGCGACAAGACGCCGCUUCCUCUACCAGAUAACACAAUUUUCUGCGGCGCGCUCUCGAGUCUACAGAAAGAACAAUCUCAUAGGUUCCAGUACUCGGGAGCUUCGCGGGUUGGGAAGACGGUGUCCGCGGUGAUGAUCUCGAUUGCAUGGCUGGCUGCUAGCUACCUGGUUGAUAUAUAG